UUGACCUCGGAUCAGGUAGGGAUACCCGCUGAACUUAAGCAUAUCAAUAAGCGGAGGAAAAGAAACCAACAGGGAUUGCCUCAGUAACGGCGAGUGAAGCGGCAAGAGCUCAAAUUUGAAAGCUGGCUC
rnacentral:rRNA from 1 species